rnacentral:rRNA from 1 species
GGGGAAUAUUGGGCAAUGGGCGCAAGCCUGACCCAGCAACGCCGCGUGAAGGAAGAAGGCUUUCGGGUUGUAAACUUCUUUUGGCAGGGACGAAGAACGUGACGGUACCUGCAGAAUAAGCUCCGGCUAACUACGUGCCAGCAGCCGCGGUAAUACGUAGGGAGCGAGCGUUAUCCGGAUUUACUGGGUGUAAAGGGCGCGUAGGCGGGAGUGCAAGUCAGAUGUGAAAUCUCCGGGCUCAACCCGGAAACUGCAUUUGAAACUGUAUUUCUUGAGUGAUGGAGAGGCAAGCGGAAUUCCUAGUGUAGCGGUGAAAUGCGUAGAUAUUAGGAGGAACACCAGUGGCGAAGGCGGCUUGCUGGACAUUAACUGACGCUGAGGCGCGAAAGCGUGGGGAGCAAACA